rnacentral:rRNA from 1 species
GAUGAACGCUGGUGGCGUGCCUAACACAUGCAAGUCGAGCGAUUCUCUUCGGAGAAGAGCGGCGGACGGGUGAGUAACGCGUGGGUAACCUGCCCUGUACACACGGAUAACAUACCGAAGGGUAUGCUAAUACGAGAUAAUAUGCUUUUAUCGCAUGGUAGAAGUAUCAAAGCUUUUGCGGUACAGGAUGGACCCGCGUCUGAUUAGCUAGUUGGUAAGGUAACGGCUUACUAAGGCGACGAUCAGUAGCCGACCUGAGAGGGUGAUCGGCCACAUCGGAACUGAGACACGGUCCAGGCUCCUACGGGAGGCAGCAGUGGGGAAUAUUGCACAAUGGGCGAAAGCCUGAUGCAGCAACGCCGCGUGAGCGGUGAAGGCCUUCGGGUCGUAAAGCUCUGUCCUCAAGGAAGAUAAUGACGGUACUUGAGGAGGAAGCCCCGGCUAACUACGUGCCAGCAGCCGCGGUAAGAC